UGGGGAAUCUUCGGCAAUGGACGAAAGUCUGACCGAGCAACGCCGCGUGAGUGAAGAAGGUUUUCGGAUCGUAAAACUCUGUUGUUAGAGAAGAACAAGGACGUUAGUAACUGAACGUCCCCUGACGGUAUCUAACCAGAAAGCCACGGCUAACUACGUGCCAGCAGCCGCGGUAAUACGUAGGUGGCAAGCGUUGUCCGGAUUUAUUGGGCGUAAAGCGAGCGCAGGCGGUUUCUUAAGUCUGAUGUGAAAGCCCCCGGCUCAACCGGGGAGGGUCAUUGGAAACUGGGAGACUUGAGUGCAGAAGAGGAGAGUGGAAUUCCAUGUGUAGCGGUGAAAUGCGUAGAUAUAUGGAGGAACACCAGUGGCGAAGGCGGCUCUCUGGUCUGUAACUGACGCUGAGGCUCGAAAGCGUGGUGAGCAAACAGG
rnacentral:rRNA from 1 species